GCAGGCAGGCAGCGUGGGUUUCAGGAACAGGAAUGGGUGGGAGGCCCCACCGCAGCUGAACCCCCAACGCUUUACAGCCAAACCAAGGGUGGCCUGACAUCCUCACCUUUAAUUCUGGUUCGUGUAGCAACAACAUUGGACGGCUGGCAGCAGCAGCAGCAGCAGCACCGGCCACUAAAGACUCGCGGCCAGCGGCACCAGGCCACGAUCGCGUUCGCCUCACAGCCAACUCAACUCCCCAAAGGUGUUUGUCGAAAUGCCUCUCCGCCCCCCCAAAACGGCACUCUGCAGCUUUGUCUGGAGCCUCCCUCCCUCCCUCCAAGCCCAUUCCCCUUCGCAGCUUCUUCCCACCAUGCUCUAUUAUGACUAGAGGAAAAGAAUGAAAGAGGAGUGUGUUUAACAUUUCGAUCCAGGUUUCCUACUUGAGAGAGAGAGAGAGAGAGUCGGGCUACAAUCUGAUGGUCAUGGGGAAGAAUUGAAUCCUCAAACCCCAAUCGCCUCAAAGAUCACGCAUGUUGAACAUGAUUUAGAUGCAAGUUCAUCGACUUAAUACAAUAAAAGCAUUCGUGCAUACAACAAACGUCACAAAGCUUGGUUUGGUAUUUCUGUAGAAUUAAUCAACUACACGUUUAUGGAAUGCCAUCAAAGCUUUUCUUCUUUGGACUCCACACGAUGUAUACAUCAGAAUGUAUGAUGCAUAUAUUGCUUUUUUUUA